GUGAACGCUGGCGGUAGGCCUAACACAUGCAAGUCGAACGGCAGCACAGUAAGAGCUUGCUCUUACGGGUGGCGAGUGGCGGACGGGUGAGGAAUACAUCGGAAUCUACUUUUUCGUGGGGGAUAACGUAGGGAAACUUACGCUAAUACCGCAUACGACCUACGGGUGAAAGCAGGGGAUCUUCGGACCUUGCGCGAUUGAAUGAGCCGAUGUCGGAUUAGCUAGUUGGCGGGGUAAAGGCCCACCAAGGCGACGAUCCGUAGCUGGUCUGAGAGGAUGAUCAGCCACACUGGAACUGAGACACGGUCCAGACUCCUACGGGAGGCAGCAGUGGGGAAUAUUGGACAAUGGGCGCAAGCCUGUUCCAGCCAUACCGCGUGGGUGAAGAAGGCCUUCGGGUUGUAAAGCCCUUUUGUUGGGAAAGAAAAGCAGCAGGUUAAUACCCCGCUGUUCUGACGGUACCCAAAGAAUAAGCACCGGCUAACUUCGUG
rnacentral:rRNA from 1 species